rnacentral:rRNA from 1 species
UACGUAGGGGGCAAGCGUUGUCCGGAUUUAUUGGGCGUAAAGAGCUCGUAGGCGGUUCCGUAAGUCGAGUGUGAAAAAUCUGGGCUCAACCCAGUGGAGCACUCGAUACUGCGGUGACUAGAGUACGGUAGAGGAGUGUGGAAUUCCUGGUGUAGCGGUGAAAUGCGCAGAGAUCCGGAGGAACACCGACGGCGCAGGCAGCGCCCUGGUCGCUUGCUGACACUGAGGCACGAAAGCGUGGGGAGCGAACCGG